UGUUCUUGCUCAUUUAACUAAAAGAUGUUGCAGUUGGCAGUGCCUACAUUUAAUUACAGCUUGAACAUCAUGCUAAUGGAACACUGUUCUUCUCUUGCCCUCAGACAUGUAGGUGUCAAGCUCCUUCUGCUGCUCUUUUUGAAGUCCCCAGUGGAGAUGCUGAGGAGCUGGCUCUUCUGGGCACUGCAGAAGCUACCUUAGGAAGAUUCCCAGGAUGUUCUCAAUGGUUUACUCAGUGCCAGGUGUACUGAACUGUGUGUGAGCCCUCAGCCCGCCAGGAAAGGCGUCAUCCAAGGAGCACAGCAGGAGGCUGACUCCCAGCCCUUUCUGUUUUUAUCUUCUUUCAAAGACAUCUGCUUCUCCGACCUAUUUCAGAACAUGGAAAUUCACAAGUGAGGAGCACCUUGGGGAUUCAGCCAAUAUUAGAAAAAGAGUUUUGGUGGUGCAGCCCUACCAAAGGAACUGGCAGUGGCAGCUUUGGCCGUCAGCACUGUACACCUGCUGGAGGGCAAACGAACAGCAAACAAAUGAGAAAGCAGAAGCAGAUCAAAACCAAGAGUCAGUGUAUGUAUGUCUGAUGUUGUACUGACUGGAAAUGAUUCCAAAAGUCAACAUAUGUAAGUAGUUAAAUGUGGAUUCUAUUUUCCCUUUGGUCCAGGGCUCUAACUUUCUUUACAGCAAACACUCCCAAGCAUACCAUCUGUUGCUGGAGAGUGAGCAGUUUAAUGAGGAGGAUUAGAUUCUUUCCAUCUCACUUACUCCUUGAUGUCUGCUCCAAUUUCUAGGUCAUUGUUGUCUCCCAGCAAUACAAAAUUUCCUUUGUAGCAUCAGCAGUAACAGUCGUACAUAUAAAUAUAUAUAUAUACAAGCACUUAUGUGCAUGUGUACUCUGUAGCCCCCCUGCUCUGUCUUUCACCAGUCCAUUUAUUAUUCUUCUCCCUUUGCCCAGCAGAAGAAGCCUGAGUGUUCAGGAGCAGCAGAGGCUGCCACACUCCAUCCCUGCCAGCGUUAUGUUGUGUUUGUGCCAAGGUAAAGGCCAACGAGAGCCGUGUCCAGACAUGGACAGAGCUGCAUUAAUCCGUAUGUUUGAGGUGAAGGUCCUAUUGUGCCUCUGCCACAAUGAAAUUGUGCCUCAGACAUGCUCCUCUUGCAGUCCAGCUGGUUUAGCAGUCUGGAAGAACUAGGAACCAGUUGGUUGUAGCAGAAUUGAUGGCAAUGUAUGGCUUGGAGGGAUAGGAUGAUAUCUCAUCCUAAUUAAUAAUCACGUAGAGACUUGCACACUAAAAUGAGAUUCAUGAAUCACUUCAUUUAGCCCUGAGCAAGUCUGCAGAAAAUGUUUUGUUUUUCAGAGGAACAAACAAGACAACAAGCAAAGCUAACCCACUCACCACGAGCACUUCUGUUCAGGCAGAAAGAUCCACAUUUUGGAGGAGAGCACGGCAUUUUCCAAAGGAUGGAAAUGCCAGAGCACUAAUUACCUGAUGCUUUAAUGUACCAACCAGAGGGAAAGAAGGAGUGUUAGGAGCAGACAGCCAGGGAGAUGAGCACAUCUUAGUAUUUAGCAAGAAAGAGAAGCAUACCCAGAUAGUGCUGCUGAGGUGGCAGUCCCAGCACUGAGCUCACAAAUCAGAGGUUUACCUGGUUUCCUUCCUCUGCUCCUUACGGAUGAUAUCCAAAGUCUGAAUACUGGUCUCAAACUUAGUCCUGUCUCUGUGGCAAACUCUGGUACCUUGUGGGAUGAUCUCUAAGAAGGAAUACCACAACAAAGCUGUUGGAUGGGUGUAUAAGAACCAAAAUUACAGUCCAGACUGGAGCCUGCUGCAGGCUAAGACACAGCACAGAGAAAUAAAUGUUUGGAAGGAUCAAAUGAUGAGCAACUCUCAUUUACUGGAAACUAUAUAGGGAACAUCACAUUUUCUUCAAGUCCUUCUUGUCUGGGGUGGGCUAGCCACAUGUACAUUUCUUCUCGAAACCUUUGUAGAUUUGAGAACAUUACAAGCAAAAUCUCAGAAUGACAGAGAGUAUGUUAGUUCCCCAUUUGGUUUUCUCCUCAAAAGAACAGGGAGUUCUUCCUGUCUUGGGACCAUACAGCUCCUGCAAAUCCAGCCGUCUUCUGCUUCUUUGAUCCUCAGCUCAUCAGAGAUCCCAGUGCCCGCACGUUGCUAUCUCAUGUCUUGCUCCCGAUGUUUGGAUUCAAGCAUCAAGAGUGCAGGAAAUGUAUUUCAGUAGAGCUGCAGUGAAAGUAGAACAAAGAGAUUGCAACAGUGAGUAAAAACUCCCAAGAGACUGAUCAUACCCAUUUGGGCACGAGUAUCUCUUUAGUAGGUGUCCAGGAAAGGUGCUGGUGUUUCAACAACACUGCUGUAACCCUUCCACAAAUGUGCUGGGUAAGAACGGGCACCACUGCUCUGGGAAAAAUAUGCAUCAGCGAGAUGGCAAAGGACUUGAAUCCUCACCAGACAAUCCAGGGAGACAGCACUUGGCUGAGGAUUGGCCAUGGGGGUUCUGUCUGCACCACCAGUGCAACAUUCUCUGUGGCUGUGACUGCUGUUAGGUCACAAAGGUUUGGCAGCCAGGGGUUGCUAAUUUGGUGCUUGCAUAGCUAAGUGUGGGAAAAGAAGCAUAUGACAUGGUUCCAUUUAUUAUUAAAAACCACAGAAAUGUAUUUGAUUGUUGGGGAGUUGUCCUUUGUCUUCCUGUCACUUGUUCCAUACCAUUGCUGGUUCUGCUUUUUACAGUCACAUGUUCCCCUCUAGGCUGGGGAGAGGAUUUUCAAGAUGAGUUACAGCUAUGCUGCUGACUUCAUAUUUGGUAGACUGUGCUCAUGUUUGCUCAUGUUUUGAUAUUAUGCUUCUUUUUUUCUACUGCCACAGAACUUCCUGCCACAUACGAAAAACUUCUGCAAUAAUGGCCUUGUUUGCAUGACAUGAUUUUGAGGAAAACCCUUCAUAGCAUGAGGGCAAAGUGCCAGUAGUUGAACACUUGGGCACCUCUCUAAGACCUAAGAUGUCUUGCACAACAGUAAGCCAGGGCCCCCACCAUAAGAAAGACAUAGAACUGUGGGAGCAGGUCAAGAGGAGGGCUACAGAGGUGAUCAGAGGGGUAGGGCAACUCCCCUAUGAAGAAAGGCUGAGGGAUCUGGGCUUGUUUAGCUGGAGAAGAGAAGGCUAUGGGGAGACCUCACUGUGGCCUUCCAGUUCUUUAAAGGGAGCUUAACAACAGGAGGGAGUGCGACUUUUUUACAUGGCCUGAUAAUGAGAGGACAAGGAAGAAUGGUUUUAAACUAAAAAGGGGGAAACUCAUAGAUGUUCGGAGGUGUUUUUUACUCAGAGGGUGGUUAGGCACUGGAACACGUUGCUUUGAGAAGCUGUGGGUGCCCCAUCCCUGGAGGCAUUCAAGGCCAGGUUGGAUGGGGCCCGGGGCAGUCUGAUCUGGUGGGUGGCAGCCCAGACCGUGGCAGGGGGCUGGAAUUAGAUGAUCUUCAAAGUUCUUUCCAUCCCAAACCAUUCUAUGAUUCUAUGAUUCUCCGAAUACAUUUCUGUCUCUGUUUGUCCUAGCAAGAGAUUUUCCCCGCAGACCUUCCCUACUAGUCUCUAAUGUCUCCUCCAAGAGGAUUGCAAUUAUUCUUAAAAGCAAAAACUAAGCAAUCUUUUAUUAUUAUUAUUAUUUUACCGAGAAAGAUUGGGUCCUCAACUACCGCCUAUCACAGCAGUGGGGUAUUUCACCCAGGGAAUAGAGGAGUUGUAGUUAUGCACUUCAGCCCCAGAAGAGGUUCAAAUGCACAUCUUCCCUAGGAUAAGAGAGCCCCAGCAACAAGGUGGGUAAGCUCCUCUUUCAGUGCACUAAAUGUAAUGUAAUGAACCUGCAGUUGCUCUUACAAAUAACACACGUGUUGUCAGCAUGCCUUGGCACUGAGUGUUAUCUCCCAGGCAGGCUGGGUGCUCCCAGCUCACGCUGUGGCUUUCUUGAGAGGCUGAGGUGGAAGUCAGCCGCUGAAGCCACAGCAGAACUGAAGGAGUUCGUAAGAAUUCCAGGUCAGGUUGGGGCACCUGCAAAGAGUGUUAAGGUCCAACACUGAGUAUGUCAGUGUAUCCUGAGGGCUUGUUUGCUGCUGGGUAUGUCUUUUCUGUAUUGACGCAUUGGAGAUGUGUCUUCUGAAGCAAGAGGUGGGUCAGCUUCCGAGUGACAGUCUAAGUUUUGUGCCUGGUUUACUUCAAUCAUUGUUACUGUUUGAAUGAGAGUCCUCUAUUGACUAUCUAUAGUUCUAAACAAGGAAAACAAAUACUGUUUCUUCAGACGAGCUGCCAAUGUCUCUGUAAUUCCCACGGUUGUAGUGCUUUGAUUGGAGUUGGGUGCCAGAUGCAUGGAUUCCUCUGACAAACAGCUUUCUGGCAGGAGAGGAAGAUCUGGCUCCAGAAAGCCUGUUUGUGUAAAGCGUUGCCAUGUUACUGUCUAUCGUUACCUGCACUGAUUUGCUUUGAAGAAGCAGAGAAGCUAGACAACAGUUAAAUAAAUAAAAAUAGAGAUAGCGAACACUUUGCACACACCCAGACAAUCCCUUUCCUACCACUAAGUGACCCUGAAAGGGAAGCUUUAGACAUUUUUGAUCCGGCACCCCAGUAGUAAGGGGAAAAACUCAGUUCUACUGAUUUUGUUCUCACUCCGCCCAGUGAUGGAAGCCAAUUAUCAUUGCUGACAGAACACAAAAGUUUUCAGGAACAAGGAAAGGUCAGCAGAGAGUGGAGACACUCAACCAGGUGAUGAAGGAGUGGGUGGAAGUGAAGGCAGAGGGAGCCAACAUCUUUCAGGGGCAGGUUGAUUCUCCUCCUGCUUUGCUUCUUGUCCUCCCCCAGUCUCCAAGCAGCUGGCAAACAUUCUCCAUUUUGGUUGGCAAGAAAUCAGCAAGUGACCUGAUGUUAAGAUCUGGGAAAACUGGGAUGGUUUGUUUGCUUGACCUUUAUCUUCCAGGAACUCAGUUUACGCAUGAGUGCUCUGACUGCUAGCUGCUGGCCAGCCCCAGAGAGCCCCUCUCAGUAGCCACAGGCCCCCAGGCCUGCCCCUGAGGGAGCAGCAGACCCUUUUUCUCUGCUCCAGACACCUCUCAUCUCAGUCCAUCCUGGGGAGAUAUCAUGGCUCCCGCCCGCUAUUCACACAUAGCACAACAUAUGUUUCUUUGCUACUGCAGCAAGAAGGAAUUCCUUCAGGCAGGGCUCUGAAGGCCCUUCCUCGCCAUUGCUCCUGGCACCUCUUCCUAGAUCCCACCACCCUACACAGAAAACAAAAGGACACUGAAACCACAACCACUUUGACCACCCACGGGGGAGACAGAAGUGCUCUGAGGGAAAUUCAAGAAGGAUCUUCGACCAAGCACCGCUGAAGCUAAGAUUUGUCAAGUCAUAACUUCAACGCUCUGCAGAGCGUUUGUUGUUUAAGACCGUAUACAGGAAAUCUGAGCAGUAAAUGUUCUCCAUCUUUGAUCAACGCGCCAGCGUGCUGCUGUGAAGUGAAACAGCGUAGGCUGGCAGAUGAGAGUUUUCCCCAGGGGCAUUCUGUAGGGAACACAACUGAGCUGACUUAACAAGGAAAU
ensembl:lncRNA